CCGAUUUAUAUCUCUUGGACGAUCCCUUCAGUGCUGUUGACGCACACACAGCAACAAGCCUUUUCAAUGAUUAUGUGAUUGGAACUUUGUCUGGAAAGACAGUCUUACUUGUGACCCACCAAAUCGACUUCCUUCGAGCUUUCAAUUCUAUUUUGUUGAUGACUGCUGGAGAAAUCAUAAGAUCUGAUACUUACGACCAGUUGAUGGCUUCCAGCCA